UUCUCUCAUUUUGCCUUCUGGAUCUCCAUGCUCCUUUAUACCAACAAACAAGAGGGAGAAUAUUCUCUCUAUCCACUUCGUUAAAUGAAGCCUGCUCUUUUAUGAAGGCAUGGCAUCUCUUCCAACUAUGUCAAACAGAAGCAAUUUAUGGGGAGAUGCUGCCCUUGUCUAAGAAAACACCCCCUCUACAGAUAUAGGCAUUCUGUCCUGGGACCUGCGUUAGAACUACUACUAGGCACCCUUCAAUUGAUGUGAAGCCACUCUGGUUACCUUAUCUUAUCCUAGCUCAGACAGAGAACUGAUCAAACAUCUUAUAACCACUGAGAUUGUUGAUGAGUACAAUUGAAGACUCAGGGAGGAAAUAUAAUUCCUUUCAAAUUAAUUAAUUAAAAUUAUAAAUGGACUUCAUGGAAGUGAAAGAGAACUAUUCAUAGAACUAAUAAAAUGUUAUCAAUGCACCCAUUUAAGAAGAAUGUUUGUUACACCUUUGUUCCAGCAGUACAUAUGCCAUAUGUGAAAUCUCAAAGGAGAUUAUCAUUGCCCGCCCGCAGUACAAAAAUAAUCAAAGCACAGUAGUGAAGCAAUACAGCUUUUGAGACAGACCAAAGUUUGAAUUCUGACUCAGCCUCCUAAUAAUGUUGUAGACUUGGAGAGAUAAUUUUACACCAAGUUUUAGCAUUUUAAAAAAAAAACAAUUAUUAAGGUAAUACUGCUUACUUAAUACUUAUAUAAAGAUUAAGAAUAACAUGGAAAAUGCCAAAUACAGUGGCAGAAACAAAAGGAGCUUUAAGAAGUAGUAACUAUUAGUGCUGUUGACAAGCACACUAUAUGACUCUGAUUUAAACACAGAGAAAGUAAAAUGGAUACGAAAGCCUCCUGUUCUCAAGGCAAAGAAAAGUUUUGGUCUGAAAUACUGUAGAUAGCACUGAGCAGAGUGAAGAAAAAUGGUUCUAUAUCUCACAUUGUAACAAUGGUCUACUUACAUUUUAUUUAGACUAGAGGCUACUUGCCUUAUCAAAUAUAUCAAGCACUCAGCAAAGUUUAAA